rnacentral:rRNA from 1 species
UUAGGCAAAUCCGGCACUCUUAAGAUUGAGCUGUGAUGGGGAGAGGAACUUGUUCCUCGAGUCGUUGAUUUCACACUGCCGAGAAAAGCCUCUAGCUAGAAUAACGGUGCCCGUACCGCAAACCGACACAGGUAGUCAAGAUGAGAAUUCUAAGGUGAGCGAGCGAACUCUCGUUAAGGAACUCGGCAAAAUGACCCCGUAACUUCGGGAGAAGGGGUGCUCUUUGAGGUUCACGCUUCGAAGAGCCGCAGUGAAUAGGCCCAAGCGACUGUUUAUCAAAAACACAGGUCUCUGCUAAACCGUAAGGUGACGUAUAGGGGCUGACGCCUGCCCGGUGCUGGAAGGUUAAGAGGAGUGGUUAGCGCAAGCGAAGCUACGAAUCGAAGCCCCAGUAAACGGCGGCCGUAACUAUAACGGUCCUAAGGUAGCGAAAUUCCUUGUCGGGUAAGUUCCGACCCGCACGAAAGGCGUAACGAUUUGGGCACUGUCUCAACGAGAGACUCGGUGAAAUCAUAGUACCGGUGAAGAUGCCGGUUACCCGCGACAGGACGGAAAGACCCCGUGGAGCUUUACUGUAGCCUGAUAUUGAAAUUCGGUACAGUUUGUACAGGAUAGGUAGGAGCCUUAGAAGCGUGAGCGCUAGCUUACGUGGAGGCAUUGGUGGGAUACUACCCUAAUUGUAUUGGAUUUCUAACCCGCAGCACUUAUCGUGCUGGGAGACAGUGUCAGGCGGGCAGUUUGACUGGGGCGGUCGCCUCCUAAAGAGUAACGGAGGCGCUCAAAGGUUCCCUCAGAAUGGUUGGAAAUCAUUCAUAGAGUGUAAAGGCAUAAGGGAGCUUGACUGCGAGACCUACAAGUCGAGCAGGGUCGAAAGACGGACUUAGUGAUCCGGUGGUUCCGCAUGGAAGGGCCAUCGCUCAACGGAUAAAAGCUACCCCGGGGAUAACAGGCUUAUCUCCCCCAAGAGUUCACAUCGACGGGGAGGUUUGGCACCUCGAUGUCGGCUCAUCGCAUCCUGGGGCUGUAGUCGGUCCCAAGGGUUGGGCUGUUCGCCCAUUAAAGCGGUACGCGAGCUGGGUUCAGAACGUCGUGAGACAGUUCGGUCCCUAUCCGUCGUGGGCGUAGGAAAUUUGAGAGGAGCUGUCCUUAGUACGAGAGGACCGGGAUGGACAUACCUCUGGUGUACCAGUUGUCGUGCCAACGGCAUAGCUGGGUAGCUAUGUAUGGACGGGAUAAGUGCUGAAAGCAUCUAAGCAUGAAGCCCCCCUCGAGAUGAGAUUUCCCAACUUC